rnacentral:tRNA from 1 species
ACCUGGGUGGCUCAGUCGGUUAAGCAUCUAACUUCAGCUCAGGUCAUUAUCUCAGUGUGAGUUCGAGCCCCACAUCAGGUU